UAUAAGGGAUUUUGAGUUUUUGUUUGUAACGUUUGACCACUCGUCUUAUUCAAAAAAUUUUAAAAUUAUUAUUUAUUUUAUUUGUGACUUACUUUAUUGUCUACAGAACUUUAAGCAUAACUUUUCAUUUUUUAUAUUUGCAAAAAAAAAUUGAAUAAGACGAGUGGUUAAACGUUGCAAGGAAAAACUCAAAACCCCUUAUA
rnacentral:pre_miRNA from 1 species